AAGACCCCUCCCCUUUAAGGGCGCCUGUUUUGGGCCGACUUCUAUCCCGCAGUGUUUACGUGGCAGGAGCAGGCGCCAUGGCGGGCGGUGGUCGCCGUCAACCCGGCGGCUCUAGGGAACCAGCUGUAUUUCCCAAAGGAAUAGCACCUCGUAUUCCGCACGGGAGGCUUACAACCUAAUGGUAUGAACAUUGAAUUCUACAAUUAUGCGUAUGCAGUCCGAUGGUGUCAGCUGUGUUGGAUCUGCAGCUUCUCUGACGUUGAGCAGCUGGAUCUCGUAUAUCACGGUUGCAUCUGGAGGGAUAUCAGGAGCCCUAAAGCCAAAGAGAAACAGUAAUAAUCAAGAGAGAGUUUUAUUUAACUCUUAGGGCUAAAGGAAUCAAGGGAUAUGGGGGAAAAGCAGGAACAAGGUUCUGAUUUUGGAUGAUCAGCCAUGAUCAUAUUGAAUGGCGGUGCUGGCUUGAAGGGCCGAAUGGCCUACUCCUGCAGUGAUACGGACCAAAUUAAGCCAAGUCUACUCCACCAUUCAAUCAUGGCUAAUCUAUCCCUCUCAUCCCCAUUCUCCUGCCUUCUCCCCAUAACCUCUGACACCCAAGAAUCUAUCUAUCUCUGCCUUAAAAAUACCCAUUGAGUUGGCCUCCACAGCCUUCAGUGGAGAUUAUGCUUCACUCGGUAGUCCUGUUUUGUGCAGAAAACAGGCAGUCUCCUAUCAACGGGCUGAGUGGUGAAGAAGUCAGCAGUGGCUGGUAUUUAUUCCACACCUUGAACAAAAUAAAUCUUCUCUGCACUCUCUUCAGCUUUAAGAUUUCCUUCCUGUAAUAGCAAGGUGUCCGAAACAGAAUGUGGCCUCACCAGUGUCUUGUAGAACUAGACAAUUAACUACUUUAUUCCAGCAUCCCCCAAUCCCCCCCCUUUUUGCUUUUGAUGUUCUUUUCAUCCCUUUCAUUCAUUUGUUCUUUGUAUUUUUUCAUUAUUCUAGUUUCCUUCUCCCCCGACAUUCAGUCUAAAGAAAGGUCUCAACCCGAAACAUCACCUAUUCUUUUUCUCCCAGAGAUGCUACCUGACCUGCUGAGUUACUCCAGCAUUUUGUGUUAAUCUGCCCUCUAAUCCUUUCCUAUUUAUGUACCUGACUAAGUAUCUGAAGAAAGGUCUUGACCCGAAACGUCACCCAUUCCUUCUCUCCAGAGACACUGCAUGUCCCGCUGAGUUAGUCCAGCAUUUUGUGUCUAUCUUCGGUUUAAACCAACAUCUGCAGUUCCUUACAUAGAUAUAAAAACAGCUAUUUUCCACAAGUAGCAGCUCUACUCAAUAACCAAAAAUCUGUAUCCUCCAUUUGCUCUGGUAUUUUAUUUAAUUCACAUGUUUAAUCAAUAAUGUUUUAUUAUCAAUGUUUAAUGUUUAUGUGUCAUUCCUAACUGUCACUGUAUGUCAUAUUGUCACUUGCGGGCAUAGCACCAAGGCAAAUUCCUUGUAUGUGAAUACUUGGCCAAUAAACCUAUUCAUUCAUUACUACACAUUAAUUUUAAAUGGGGUUGUUCCCCUCCUCCUCCAUAUCCCUCCUAAUCUGUCCUAUCCAUGCACCUGUCUAACUGCUUCUUAAAUGUUGGGAUAGUCCCAGCCUCAACUACUUCCUCUGGCAGCUCGUUCCAUACACCCAUUACCUCUGAGUGAAAAGGUUGCCCCUCAGCUUCCUAUUAUAUAUUUCCCUUCUGAACUCAAACCUAUUUAAAGUUUCCAACGUUCCACCAGUGACCACACUUGCACAGUUCAUCCUAGGCUGAACAUUCUUUGGGAACAUUGCAAAGCUGUAGUUUGUGCAAGGAGCGAUGUAAAGCCAUGCAUUUUGUUUUGAAAAGUUAAAAUCCAGAUUUUCCUUCUGGUCUUCCUUUGUUCUGUAAUCCUUAACAUUGUCCACCAUUACCCAAUGUCAGUAAGGAUGGAUUGACGGCUUUUUUGCAAAUACUAUCCAAGGCGUAUUAGUGUCGUGUGUGAAGGAAAAUUAGUUUGGGCAUGUGAGAUUUCAUUGAAAAUAUUGGUCCCAUUCUGUGUGUGUGAAUGAAUGUGUGUGUGUGUGUGUGUGUAUAAAUGUGUGUGUGAGUGUGUGAGUGUGCGUGUAUGUGUGUGAGCAUGUGUGUGUGUGUGUGUGUGAAUGUGCGUGUGUGUGGGAGAGUGAGUGUGCGUGUAUGUGUGUGAGCAUGAGAGUUUUGUAUGUCUGUGUGCGCACACACCAGUAUGUGUGUGUCAGUGUGAGUGUGUUUGAGUGUGUAUACCAGUGUGUGUGUGUAUACCAGUGUGUGUGUGUGUGUAUGCCAGUGUGUGUGUGUCAGUGUGAGUGUGAGUGUGUGUGUGUGUGUGUGUGAGGGAGCGUGUCCACCCACUGAUAACAAUAUCACGGGUCACAGUAAGUUCAUUGUAAGUCAAUAGUGGUCUGCCUCUUGUGUACUACAUCAGAAAUCUGCUCUUCAGAGUGUUUGUUCACAUUCCUUGCCUCUGACAGAGGAGUGGGUAUUUAUAUAAAGUAUGUUUCACUGG